UAAGACGUAGAAUGUGAUCACUACUUUGUAAUCAUGAGACGUUUGUAAGGUAAUCGCCACCUACACUUAGUGAGACUAUUGUAUACCUUUGAUCUCUAUUGUUAUAGAGAGACGUUUAGUUGAGCAGGCUCUUGAUUGAAGAAUCAAGAAGAGGACGUGGAGUGGAUUAGGUGAAGAUGGAACCAAGAAGACCGUCUACUCGAGCACCCAUCAAUUCUUUUGCAAGAGUAGCCCAGAUCAUAGCCCAAUAA
rnacentral:lncRNA from 1 species